AUGUCUAAACUUAAUCUAGGAUUACAUAUUCUUGUCAUAUAUGUUGUUUUCAUUGCUCACCAAAUCCAUGGAGGUGGAUUGCAUCCAACCAACCGAAAGGCAUGGUAUGCACAUGCUUCUCCAUCAAAAAAUUCCAAUGACAUCGUUUAUUUUGCGACACAUAGGACACGUCCCAGUAGCUAUUAUGGACUUGCUGCUACAAUGGAUGUGUACGGACACAAUAUCAGUGCUGGUCAUAUCAUAACAUCUAUUUGGAUUGCUAACAUGGAGGGUGAUCCAAAGACAGAUCACAAUGCAAUUUGGGUCGGGUGGCAAGUUGACCCAAAAAAAUAUGGGGACUCACAUACUCACUUCUUCACGAGUUGGACGAGAGACACAUAUCAUACAGGGUGCUAUGACAUGGACUGCCCUGGUUUCCAACUUGUUAAGGGGUCAAAAAUCGCUCCAGGUGGCACAAUACAACCAGUCUCUCAUGUUCAUGGUGUAUGUCAAAAGAUUACAAUUAAAGUGUUUAGGGAAAAAUCCACGGGAAAUUGGUGA
rnacentral:rRNA from 1 species